UGAGUUUGAUCAUGGUUCAGGAUGAACGCUAGCGGCAGGCUUAACGCAUGCAAGUCGAGGGGCAGCACGGGUAGCAAUACCUGGUGGCGACCGGCGGAAGGGUGCGUAACGCGUGAGCAACAUGCCCUAUACAGGGGAAUAAACCAGGGAAACUUGGUCUAAUGCCCCAUAGCAAUAAGAUAAGGCAUCUUAUUUUAUUUAAAGCUUCGGUGGUAUAGGAUUGGCUCGCGUGACAUUAGCUGGAUGGUGGGGUAACGGCCCACCAUGGCGAUGAUGUCUAGGGGUUCUGAGAGGAAGACCCCCCACACUGGGACUGAGACACGGCCCAGACUCCUACGGGAGGCAGCAGUGAGGAAUAUUGGACAAUGGAUGGAAAUCUGAUCCAGCCAUGCCGCGUGCAGGAAGACGGCCCUAUGGGUUGUAAACUGCUUUUCUACGGGAGCAAUAAGGUCUACGCGUAGACUGAUGAGAGUACCGUAGGAAUAAGCAUCGGCUAACUCCGUGCCAGCAGCCGCGGUAAUACGGAGGAUGCGAGCGUUAUC
rnacentral:rRNA from 1 species